rnacentral:rRNA from 1 species
UACGAAGGGGGCUAGCGUUGUUCGGAUUUACUGGGCGUAAAGCGCACGUAGGCGGAUCUUUAAGUCAGAGGUGAAAUCCCAAGGCUCAACCUUGGAACUGCCUUUGAUACUGGGGAUCUUGAGUCCGGGAGAGGUGAGUGGAACUCCGAGUGUAGAGGUGAAAUUCGUAGAUAUUCGGAGGAACACCAGUGGCGAAGGCGGCUCACUGGUCCAUUACUGACGCUGAGGUGACGGAAAGCAUGGGGAGCGAACAGG